UACGGAGGAUCCGAGCGUUAUCCGGAUUUAUUGGGGUUAAAGGGUGCGUAGGCGGCCUUGUAAGUCAGGGGUGAAAGACGGUAGCUUAACUAUCGCAGUGCCUUUGAUACUGCAGGGCUUGAAUGUACUUGAGGUAGGCGGAAUGUGACAAGUAGCGGUGAAAUGCAUAGAUAUGUCACAGAACACCAAUUGCGAAGGCAGCUUACUAAAGUAUGAUUGACGCUGAGGCACGAAAGCGUGGGGAUCAAACAGG
rnacentral:rRNA from 1 species